rnacentral:lncRNA from 7 species
AGAUUUGGGGCCGACUGGGCUGAAUUUGGGGUCAUUUCAUGAGAGUUUGGGGUCAGGGCCGGAGAUUUGGGGUCAGAUGCUGAGAUUUGGGGUCAGAUCCGGAGAUAUGGGGUCAGAUGCUGAGAUUUGGGGCCAAUACAGCUGAAUUUGGGGUCAUUUCUUGAGAUUUUGGGGUCGUUUUGUGGGAGUUUGGGGUCAGGUGCUGAAAUUUGGGGUGGAUUCAGCUGAAUUUGGGGUCAGUUUGGGCGAUUUCGGGGCCAAUUCAGGGGAAUUUGGGAUCAUUUCCUGAGAUUUGGGGUCAGGUGCUGAGAUUUG